rnacentral:hammerhead_ribozyme from 1 species
AUCCAACUGAGAAGUCCAAAAUAGGACGAAACGCGCUUCUUGUAU